rnacentral:lncRNA from 1 species
GAUAGACACUAAGUAGCACCAGAUAAUUAUUCGAAUAAUUGCCACCUAUCAGUCCAGUUUCAUUACUAGUGGUGCUUUGAUCCUAUCUUGUCCAAAAUAAUUUCUGCUUAUUCAGUUACGUGUUGUACAGCCAAAUAUGCAGUCCAGAUUACAGAAGGAAGGCUCAGAAUCUGAGCAAUUCUGGGAUUUGUUAGGGGGAAAAUCUGAGUACCCCAGUCAGAAGGUCGGCAGGGAUGUUGAAAGUGAUCCUCAUUUAUUCUCGUGUUCCUUCUCAAAUGGUUAGAAGAACUAUCUGUAUAUAUCAUAACAUUUAUCUUCAUACUCUGCUGCAGCCCCACUCACGCUUGUAUAAAUUAUAAUUUGUUCUCUUUGUUGUGUGCAUUUUAUUGGUUGCCUCUGGAAUUGACUGCUGAUCUUCAGAUUUGAAGGUGCGUCAUUCUCUUGUAUCUGUUCUUUGCUAUCUAAAUAUAACUAUAUGCUACCUGGCCUUUUAUGCUGCAUCAAACAUGAUUCUUAGUCCCAAAGUUUCAGAUGUCUUGGAAACUGUAGACAUGAACAGAUAUGCCUAUGAAUGAAUAAUAAAGUAAAGAAGGGAAUGACUACAGACUUAUGACAGUGUGCUUCAACCCCAAGUAACUAUGUGCACGUAUCAGUAACAGAGUUGGAUAUGAUUUGUGCAUCCUAGUUCCUAACCAAACCACAUCACAUUUUUCUGUGGAUCUUUUACAUUGCGUGGACAAUUGAUCACUUAAUACAAUUUCCUGCAUUAAUAUAACCCUAAAUCCUCAAUAAAAGUAAAUAUGUUGGUGUCGGAGACUGUCUUGUUAUUCAGGUUUUAUUUAGCAUGGUUCUGUUAUAAGAUACAGUAAACAUAUAGAUACAUUUUGACCUGCAAUUGACAUUUUCAUUUUUGUUAUUAUCUAUAUGUCUAACUACAUGGGUCAUUUAAGGAUUGCAACAUUUAUGCAUAGAUUAUAAUAAUUAUUGCCAUAUGCAACAAAACUUGAUAGGAAAAAAAUGGUGAUAAUACCAUAAAAGCAGAAAUAAAUUGCAAUCGCAAAUUAAUACUCCCUCCGUCCCUCCCAUUUCUUAUCAAAUGGGUUGGGCACGGAGGUUAAGAAAUAUGUAUAAAGUAGUGGAAAAGAGAAAGAAAAGUGGGUGAAGUGGUGGGACCCAUUGAUUUUUAAUGUAUAAAAAGAAUAAAGUGGAGUAAAAGUAGUGUGAAAAGGAAAGAAAAGGGGAGAAGUGGUGGGACCCAUUGACUAUUUUUGGUAAGUUUUGAAAUGUAAAGAAUUGGAUGGGACACCUUAAAAAGGAAAGUGUAAAGAAAUGGAAGGGACGGAGGGAGUAUCUCUGUAUUAUUCGUAAUAUCGGAAAGGUAUUCAAUCCUAAUAUAUGAAAUUGAAUCUUUGCUGAGUUAAGGCUGAAAUAUUUAUGUAUGCAGGUGAAAGAGAUUUACAACUUUGACCAGGAUGAUUUGAUGACUGAAGAUAUCUUCAUCCUGGAUUGUCACUCUGAUAUUUUUGUCUGGGUGGGGCAACAGGUCAACUCCAAAUAUAAAAAGGAUGCUC